AAGACCUUGCGCUUUUGGAGCGGCCGAUGCCUGAUUAGCUUGUUGGUAAGGUAAAAGCUUACCAAGGCUUCGAUCAGUAGCUGGUCUGAGAGGACGGCCAGCCACACUGGGACUGAGACACGGCCCAGACUCCUACGGGAGGCAGCAGUGGGGAAUUUUGGACAAUGGGGGCAACCCUGAUCCAGCCAUGCCGCGUGAGUGAAGAAGGCCUUCGGGUUGUAAAGCUCUUUCAGCCGGAACGAAACGGUUACGGUUAAUACCUGUGAUUACUGACGGUACCGGAAGAAGAAGCACCGGCUAACUACAUGCCAGCAGCCGCGGUAAUACGUAGGGUGCGAGCGUUAAUCGGAAUUACUGGGCGUAAAGCGUGCGCAGGUGGUUUUGUAAGUCAGAUGUGAAAGCCCCGGGCUCAACCUGGGAACU
rnacentral:rRNA from 1 species